rfam:Perkinsus marinus ATCC 50983 gcontig_1104296725990, whole genome shotgun sequence.
GCCUUCUUAACUUAGUUGGUAGAGCACCCGCUUAGUAAGCGGGAGGUCGUCGGUUCAACUUCGGCAGAAGGCU